rnacentral:tRNA from 1 species
CAUGAUAUAGCUUAACCAAAGCAUCUCGCUUACACCGGGAAAAUGUAUGUGAAAAUCAAACUAUCAUGA